rnacentral:rRNA from 1 species
AUGAACGCUAGCGACAGGCUUAACACAUGCAAGUCGAGGGGCAGCGGGGGUAGCAAUACCCGCCGGCGACCGGCGCACGGGUGAGUAACGCGUAUGCAACUUGCCUAUCAGAGGGGGAUAACCCGGCGAAAGUCGGACUAAUACCGCAUGAAGCAGGGGCCCCGCAUGGGGAUAUUUGCUAAAGAUUCAUCGCUGAUAGAUAGGCAUGCGUUCCAUUAGGCAGUUGGCGGGGUAACGGCCCACCAAGCCGACGAUGGAUAGGGGUUCUGAGAGGAAGGUCCCCCACAUUGGUACUGAGACACGGACCAAACUCCUACGGGAGGCAGCAGUGAGGAAUAUUGGUCAAUGGGCGUAAGCCUGAACCAGCCAAGUCGCGUGAGGGAUGAAGGUUCUAUGGAUCGUAAACCUCUUUUAUAAGGGAAUAAAGUGCGGGACGUGUCCCGUUUUGUAUGUACCUUAUGAAUAAGGAUCGGCUAACUCCGUGCCAGCAGCCGCGGUAAUACGGAGGAUCCGAGCGUUAUCCGGAUUUAUUGGGUUUAAAGGGUGCGUAGGCGGCCUUUUAAGUCAGCGGUGAAAGUCUGUGGCUCAACCAUAGAAUUGCCGUUGAAACUGGGGGGCUUGAGUAUGUUUGAGGCAGGCGGAAUGCGUGGUGUAGCGGUGAAAUGCUUAGAUAUCACGCAGAACCCCGAUUGCGAAGGCAGCCUGCCAAGCCAUGACUGACGCUGAUGCACGAAAGCGUGGGGAUCAAACAGGAUUAGAUACCCUGGUAGUCCACGCAGUAAACGAUGAUCACUAGCUGUUUGCGAUACAUUGUAAGCGGCACAGCGAAAGCGUUAAGUGAUCCACCUGGGGAGUACGCCGGCAACGGUGAAACUCAAAGGAAUUGACGGGGGCCCGCACAAGCGGAGGAACAUGUGGUUUAAUUCGAUGAUACGCGAGGAACCUUACCCGGGUUUGAACGCAUUUCGACCGCUCUGGAAACAGAGCCUCUAGCAAUAGCGAUUUGCGAGGUGCUGCAUGGUUGUCGUCAGCUCGUGCCGUGAGGUGUCGGCUUAAGUGCCAUAACGAGCGCAACCCUUAUCUUUAGUUACUAACAGGUCAUGCUGAGGACUCUAGAGAGACUGCCGUCGUAAGAUGUGAGGAAGGUGGGGAUGACGUCAAAUCAGCACGGCCCUUACAUCCGGGGCGACACACGUGUUACAAUGGCGUGGACAAAGGGAAGCCACCUGGCGACAGGGAGCGAAUCCCCAAACCACGUCUCAGUUCGGAUCGGAGUCUGCAACCCGACUCCGUGAAGCUGGAUUCGCUAGUAAUCGCGCAUCAGCCAUGGCGCGGUGAAUACGUUCCCGGGCCUUGUACACACCGCCCGUCAAGCCAUGGGAGCCGGGGGUACCUGAAGUCCGUAACCGCGAGGAUCGGCCUAGGGUAAAACUGGUGACUGGGGCU